rnacentral:tRNA from 1 species
GGGGAUUUAGCUCAGUGGUAGAGCGCUUGCCUAGCAAGCACAAGGCCAUGGGUUCGGUCCCCAGCUCCA